rnacentral:rRNA from 1 species
UAGGGAAUCUUCCACAAUGGACGAAAGUCUGAUGGAGCAACGCCGCGUGAGUGAAGAAGGUUUUCGGAUCGUAAAGCUCUGUUGUUGGUGAAGAAGGAUAGAGGCAGUAACUGGUCUUUAUUUGACGGUAAUCAACCAGAAAGUCACGGCUAACUACGUGCCAGCAGCCGCGGUAAUACGUAGGUGGCAAGCGUUGUCCGGAUUUAUUGGGCGUAAAGCGAGCGCAGGCGGAAUGAUAAGUCUGAUGUGAAAGCCCACGGCUCAACCGUGGAACUGCAUCGGAAACUGUCAUUCUUGAGUGCAGAAGAGGAGAGUGGAACUCCAUGUGUAGCGGUGGAAUGCGUAGAUAUAUGGAAGAACACCAGUGGCGAAGGCGGCUCUCUGGUCUGCAACUGACGCUGAGGCUCGAAAGCAUGGGUAGCGAACAGGAUUAGAUACCCUGGUAGUCCAUGCCGUAAACGAUGAGCGCUAGGUGUUGGGGACUUUCCGGUCCUCAGUGCCGCAGCAAACGCAUUAAGCGCUCCGCCUGGGGAGUACGACCGCAAGGUUGAAA